CAACCAGACUAUAAGAGAUUUAACUUUGUAUAUCUUUUACAUUAUGUAAAACACAAAGAAACGAGAAUUGUUGGUCUUGCAAAAUCGAGUAUCUUGGUCAAGCUGCUCAUACAUGCAUGAUGUUAUAUGAUGAUGAAGAUAUCUGAAGACUGCUCUGAAUCAAAUCCAGGCCACAUCAUGAAUGCAUCAAAAUUAAUAGUAGUCGGAGAGGCAGUGAAGGCAAUACUAGAAGAUGGCCUGUAAUAGGACAGUGAUGAGUUUGAUGGUAAUAUCAGUGACUCAGAGGAAGUUUCAAAAUAAUGAAGAUGUGCUUAGAGAAGAAAUUAACUAUGAAACUGAAGAUAAUGUUGAGGACAAUCCAAAAGAAUCUGGUAAUGAAACUGCAGGAAAAGAGUUUGAGGACAACGAAAGUAGUGAUGAAGAGGAAGUUACAAUCUAGGAUAAUAGUAAUUGUACUUUGCAAACACUUACAACUGUACGUGUGGUUACAUCUGGCAAGCAAAGUCCAGAGAAAAAGUCAUGAUGUAACUCAUAACAUGUUGAGGGAAGCAAUGGGACUGAAAGAAGAUGGAAAGGUACAAAAUAUACAGGACACACUAAAUAUAUUUCUGAUUACUGAGAUGAGGCAAAUAAUUGUAAGAUUUAAAAAUCAGAAAGCACAAAAUGCAUAUGAAAAAUGGAACUGUGAUCAUAAUGAUAACAAAAAAUGGAAAGAUGUAGAUUAAAUAAAACUCGAAGACAUUAGAGAGCUGUUGAAGAUGGAGGACUCUGGUCGACCAAUAUUCAGUGCUACAAUGGGAUUGGGGUGCUUUCAAAAUAUCUUGAGGUUUCUACGCUUUGAAAAUAUUCAAACCUGGUCUGAUCGCAGGAAUACCAACAAAACGGCACCAUUUAGAGAUAUGUUUUCAGGGAACAUUACAGAGGCCAUACAAGCCUGGAUCAGACCUGACAACUGAUGAACAAUUAGUGUCAUUUCAUGGUUAUUUUCCUUUCAGGCAGUACAUGCCAUCAUAAUCUGCAGGUGUAUGUAGCUAAAAGAAAAUAAA